rnacentral:misc_RNA from 1 species
UUCAUUCUCUUUGGCUUUUGCUUCACUUUGAGCCUCUAUUUUAUCUUUUAUCAGCUCAUCAACCUUGCCGGUAUAUUCACGAAUAAACUGUAACAGGUAUGGGAAUGCGAAGUCGAUCAUAUUGUUCAUCCAUGCUAGCUCAAGGGCAACAUCCGGGCGAAUCAAAUCAUAACAAACAAAUAGGCAUGUUGCAAAGCAUUCUUUCUUUCCCUGCUCAAUGAAAUAAACAAGCAACUCCUCGGACAGAUCACGAUCACCAGACUGAGAGCAAGUCUCCAUCGCAUCUUUGUAUAAAUUAUCCUUCUUGGACAGUGCAAUGGAUUGCUUCCAUCUCCCUGCUUUCUU